CCAUCUCGGAUCCCUCCCCCAAUGCAAAAAACUCUUAUACUUUCAUAGCCUCUUUCUGUCUCUCUUCCCUCUAUAAUUAAAGCAGAGAGAGAGAGCUUUAUCUUCUCAUACUCUUUCUUUUAAUUCUUGUAUCUUAUUCUUGGUUUUCUUUUCAUGGCUCUUCUCACUUUCUUAUCAGAGCAAUCAGAGCAGGGAAAACAGCUUUCCAAACGCAAGCGCAAGCUGCAAAAGCAAAAGCAACCCUCGUCAUGGGACCAAAUCAAGAACCUACUCACCUGCAAGCAGGUCGAAGGAUCAGGAGUACAUGACCCAUCGAAGAACCCUAACGGAUACUCAAAGCUGGGUUCUUCCUGCAGCUCU
rnacentral:misc_RNA from 1 species